rnacentral:rRNA from 1 species
GACGAACGCUGGCGGCGUGCUUAACACAUGCAAGUCGAACGGAUCUUUUCUUGGCACUUGUGUCUUGGAUUGGUUAGUGGCGAACGGGUGAGUAACACGUGAGGAACCUGCCUUGGAGACGGGGAUAACAGCUAGAAAUGGUUGCUAAUACUCGAUGUCCACAUGUGGCCGCAUGGUUGUGUGUGGAAAGGAUUGUUCGCUUUGAGAGGGUCUCGCGGGCUGUCAGCUUGUUGGUGAGGUAAUGGCUCAACAAGGCGACGACGGCUAGGUGGUCUGAGAGGACGACCAGCCACACUGGGACUGAGGCACGGCCCAGACUCCUACGGGAGGCAGCAGUGGGGAAUCUUGCGCUAUGGGCGGAAGCCUGACGCAGCAACGCCGCGUGUGGGAUGAAGGCUUUCGGGUUGUAAACCACUUUCAGCGGGAACGGAAUUGACGGUACCCGCAGAAGAAGCACCGGCCAACUACGUGCCAGCCGCCGCGGUAACAC